GUCCAUACUGCAAACUAUGAAUAUUAUGAAUUGGAUUUUAUAUAAAUUCAGUUACCAAAGCUAACGCGUUAAAUAUUCCGCCUGGGGAUUACGAUCGCAAGGUUGAAACUCAAGAAGAUUGACGGGAGUAUUUACAAGCGGUGGAGCAUGUAUGUUAAUUAGAUAUUCCGCAAAAAAUCUUACCAGCUUUUGCAUAUUUAACAAAUUAAUUACGAUUAAUUAUAUUUUGAUUAAAUACAGGUGUUGCAUGGCUGCCGU
rnacentral:rRNA from 1 species